rnacentral:rRNA from 1 species
GAUGAACGCUGGCGGCGUGCCUAAUACAUGCAAGUCGAGCGAACGGACGAGAAGCUUUCUUCUCUGAUGUUAGCGGCGGACGGGUGAGUAACACGUGGAUAACCUACCUAUAAGACUGGGAGAACUUCGGGAAACCGGAGCUAAUACCGGAUAAUAUUUUGAACCGCAUGGUUCAAAAGUGAAAGACGGUCUUGCUGUCACUUAUAGAUGGAUCCGCGCUGCAUUAGCUAGUUGGUAAGGUAACGGCUUACCAAGGCAACGAUGCAUAGCCGACCUGAGAGGGUGAUCGGCCACACUGGAACUGAGACACGGUCCAGACUCCUACGGGAGGCAGCAGUAGGGAAUAUUCCGCAAUGGGCGAAAGCCUGACGGAGCAACGCCGCGUGAGUGAUGAAGGUCUUCGGAUCGUAAAACUCUGUUAUUAGGGAAGAACAUAUGUGUAAGUAAAUGUGCACAUCUUGACGGUACCUAAUCAGAAAGCAACGGCUAACUACGUG